UACGUAGGGUGCGAGCGUUAAUCGGAAUUACUGGGCGUAAAGCGUGCGUAGGUGGUUCGUUGUGUCUGUGGUGAAAGCCCCGGGCUUAACCUGGGAAUGGCCAUGGAAACUGGCGAGCUGGAGUCUGGCAGAGGGGGGUGGAAUUCCGCGUGUAGCAGUGAAAUGCGUAGAGAUGCGGAGGAACACCGAUGGCGAAGGCAGCCCCCUGGGCUAAGACUGACGCUGAGGCACGAAAGCGUGGGGAGCAAACAGGG
rnacentral:rRNA from 1 species